AGUGGAAUAGCUGGAUCAUAUGGUGGAUCCAUCCCUAGCUUUUUGAGAAAUGCCCAAACUGCUUUCCAGAGUGGUUGUUCUAGUCUGCAGUCCCACCAACAAU
rnacentral:pre_miRNA from 1 species